rnacentral:lncRNA from 1 species
AGAGAAAUUAUAUGUAUAUAUAUAGAAGAUGGAACCUUAUAUAUUAGAAUUCAUCUCCAAGUACGAAAUUCCAGUUCUUUGCUAACAUCAGUGGCUCACCUUAUAUUUAUUUCGAGUAAAUUAAAAAUAGUUACAGAAAGUUUUCUUCUUUUAAAGAGCUGGAAUUUCGAUAUUAAGUUUCUCUCUUUUGAUGAAAAUGUUUCUAGUUGGCCGGGAUUACUUCUGUAACGGUUUACAAUUCCUUAAUUGCUCACAGUGGCAGGUGACAGUAAGGAGAUUUUUGUCUAGCAAUCGUCAUUUAUUGUUAGUGGCCGGGAUAUUUUUAAGAAAGGUAGAGAAGAAUUUAGGAUGUUAUCGAAAUGGUCGCACCAUUGUUUAUCCAUUAACGAUAAGAAGUUGGAAGGUAGAAAGUUCGAUAAGGCGGAAAAGUAUGGCGACGACGUGAUUCGAUGAACAAAAGUGUUGGAAAUGGUUACAGAAAGAGGCGCCGGAGCUACUUUAACCGUUUUCGAUAUUUAUGAGUUCCAGAUGGUUGAAAAUUCGUCGUUAGCUAACUGUAAACUUGAUUUAUCGAUGUUUAGAUUGGCUAGGUGAAAUAUAUCCGAAUAUUUAUUACGCCAGAUCGAUGAAAAUUUCUCUAGAAGAAUUCCAUUUUUCGUCUCUGAUGGUUUUCGGGUACGGUCGGAAGUGAAAAAUUCAAUUUAGUCCCUAGUUUGAAUAAAUAUAAGUAUUAAAAAAGAACGUCUGGUUUCUGACGACCGCACAAUACCCAUCUUUCAUUAAAUCGCGGCACGUUUCUUAAUAUAGGUAUGUGAGGGAAUUCACAAUAACAUCAGAAUUUUUACCGGAGGAAAUCUUGGCAUCAUGUAGUCGCCCAUACUAACAAAAUAUUAAAUGGGUUAUACAGAUAAAAAACGGGAAAUUUUCUUUAAUCUUGGAAUUGUCUUCGAGAAACGGAAUGUUAUCUGAUCUCGUCACGUGUCUCUAAUUCUUGCUUUAUCUCUGCCGUACUUAAACGCAUUUCUGUAUGAUCUGCUAAUAUAUGCGUUGUAAGCAUUAAAACUCACAGAAUAGUAGAAAAAUCCAUAGCAUAGCAUCCUCAGUAUAGCAUCACCACACCACCAAAAUCCAUAGUAUACCUUCAAAACCCAUAAAACAGUAUAAAAAUCACAAUACAAUAUAAAAAAUUCCACAGUACAGUAUCAAAACCUACAGUACAAUAUAAAAAUCCACUGAAGAAUAGUACAGGUAUUCCUCACUUAACGACCGAGUUCCGUUCUCACGACUUGGUCUGUAAGCAAGUAAUUUGUUCGUAUAUAUAUUUAGAAGAAGUUACUCGCUUGAGUUCUCAAGGCUAUAAAGACAUUUAUAUGUUAAUUACGCACAAAAUAUUUUUCUUAAUCAGAUUUUUGGAACUAUGAGUGAGGGGAAUGGCACGCAAUAAAAGUCGCAAGCGACGUAUACGGGCAAAAACCAAAUUUUCUGCUUAAAAAAAAAAAAAAGUGUAAGCUCGGAUGUAAGUUCGAGCAGUCGUUAAACAGGUAAGUCAUUAAGUGAGGAGUACCUAUAUAAAAAUCCAC